rnacentral:sRNA from 1 species
GGUUGUUGAUUCUGCCCACUUUGGAAGUCACCCUUCCCAGGUAACUACAGGCUUCCUUCCUUAAACCACCUGCCUGAGGGACAGGCUGGCCUCCCCAGACAGAGGAGCACACUCACUUCUUAACUUGACUUCAGUCAAGGAUGUGUACGUGUCUGUGCCCCCUGCUAGAAGCUUCUAGUAAAUUCUAGAGGUGUCUGUGUGGAAAAGUGCAGGUAAGGGAAGCUUCCAAGUUACCAGAUACAAAAAGAGACAUCAAAUUGGGGCAGCCUGUCUAUCAAAAAGAUAAUUUAGUUUUAUUUU